rnacentral:lncRNA from 1 species
AAAUUUUCCAUAUUUGUCUUUGCGUGUAUGCUAUUAAGUUUCAAUGUUCAAGAUUUCAAGUACUUAGAGAUGGUUUGAUAUCUAACCCAAACUGUCAUAAAUAUGUUUGUUUUUUGUGGUCAAACAUUUUAAGUUUUUAUUAUUUUUUGAACUGCAUGAAUUCAUGACUUUCCAUAAAUUGCAAUUAAUCUAUGUUUCCAGUCAGGAAAUAAAGAGGAAUUUUCACCAAAUUGAAUUGGUGGCAUGAGGUGGAUUUGGGGCGGGAAGGGGGACUCAACUUC